rnacentral:rRNA from 1 species
GAUGAACGCUAGCUACAGGCUUAACACGUGCAAGUCGAGGGGAAACGAUAUUGGAAGCUUGCUUCCGAUAGGCGUCGACCGGCGCACGGGUGAGUAACGCGUAUCCAACCUGCCCAUCACUUGGGGAUAACCUUGCGAAAGUAAGACUAAUACCCAAUGAUAUCUCUAGAAGACAUCUGAAGGAGAUUAAAGAUUCAUCGGUGAUGGAUGGGGAUGCGUCUGAUUAGCUUGUUGGCGGGGUAACGGCCCACCAAGGCGACGAUCAGUAGGGGUUCUGAGAGGAAGGUCCCCCACAUUGGAACUGAGACACGGUCCAAACUCCUACGGGAGGCAGUAGUGAGGAAUAUUGGUCAAUGGACGAGAGUCUGAACCAGCCAAGUAGCGUGCAGGAUGACGGCCCUAUGGGUUGUAAACUGCUUUUAUAAGGGAAUAAAGUGAGUCUCGUGAGACUUUUUGCAUGUACCUUAUGAAUAAGGACCGGCUAAUUCCGUGCCAGCCGCCGCAGUAA